AUUGAACGCUGGCGGUAGGCCUAACACAUGCAAGUCGAACGGCAACAGAAAGAAGCUUGCUUCUUUGCUGAGGCGUGGCGGACGGGUGAGUAAUGUCCGGGAAACUGUCUGUUGGCGGGGGAUAACUACUGGAAACGGUAGCUCAUAUCCCAUAACGUAGCUAGACCUAAAAGCAGGACCUCUGCGGACCUUGCCAUCGGAUGUGCCCAGAUGGGAUUAGCUAGUAGGUGGGGUAACGGCGCACCUAGGCGACGAUCCCUAGCUGGUCUGAGAGGAUGACCAGCCACACUGGAACUGAGACACGGUCCAGACUCCUACGGGAGGCAGCAGUGGGGAAUAUUGGACAAUGGGCGCAAGCCUGAUGCAGCCAUGCCGCGUGGAUGAAGAAGGCCUUCGGGUUGUAAAGUACUUUCGUCGGGAAAGAAAGGAAGAAAGUUAAUACCUUUGCGCAUUGACGGUACCCACAGAAGAAGCACCGGCUAACUCCGUG
rnacentral:rRNA from 1 species